rnacentral:lncRNA from 10 species
AAUAAUUAUUAUCACAUGUCUAUAUAAUUUUCAUCUAAAUUUUUAUAUGUGCAUGUAGUUUUUUAAACUAUGCUUUCUUCUUUAUCUGCUGUUGUUGUGAUGUACAAUAUUCAAUAUGUUUUGUUGCUUUUCCCUUAACGUUAUAUUAUGAUCAUGUUUUUUGGACCAUGUUUGUACAUUAUUGAAUUGUAUAAAUUAAUAUAUACUACUUAAUGUGAAUAAGCCAUAAUUUACAAUUCAUUUAACCAUUUCCAUAUUAAUUGAACACAAAUGUAAUGAUAUUUCCAAUCUAUAAGAGGUGAAUAUUCUUUUGUAUUAACUCUUGAAUAUGUUCUUUAGUAUUACUGGAUGAAAGAAUAAACAUUUUGAAGCUUUUGAUAUAAAUUGGGAACUUGCCUUACAGGCAGACUAGCAGUGUGUAAAGAUGCCUAUUUCCCCACAUCCUAGUCAAUGUAUAUGUGUAUAUAUAUAUAUAUAUAUGUAUAUACCAGUUGUCAUUCAUUCUACUUUUGUUCCACAAUGUUUUUGUAUUAACUCUUUGGGUAGCUUUACAUAUUAAGGUUAUGAAUCCUUUGUCGUAUAUGUUUUUCUAUGUUUUAAUUUGCCCAGCUUUACUGAGGUAGAAUUGACUAUUAAAAUUGUAUAUAUUUAAGGAGUACCUCUUGAUGAUUAUGUAUAUAUGUAUAAUAUAUAGUGAAAUAGUCACGAAAAUCCAAUAUAUGCCUUUAACUUGUGUUUAUAAUGCUUUUAAAAAUGGUGUAUGUGUUUCUAAUUCAUAGGUAGUAACGCUUUAUUUGUCUAGCAUUGUCUAAGAAUGAAGAAUUCUAUCUGAAUAAAGUCUCUGGAUCAUUGAGGCUUAUAGUUUUUAAUGCAAAACCUUAAACAGAGAAAAACAUCUCUUUUUUU